AGGCCCCUGAUCCACAAAUAGCAAUUCGCCGUAUGUUGUGUGUCUGUUUGGUCCAUAAGUGAUAUCGAAUAUCCAAACGGCACGCAUCAUCUUUUCUUGAAUGCUUUAUUUCAGACCCGUUUCGUUCGCCGCCCAUCCCCCGGAGAAGCGCUAAUUUUUUCUGCGGACCAUUUGGGAGAGAUUAUAAAUAUGGUGAUGUUUCCAGGUUAUCGAAGGGGGAGAUCUUAAACAACACGAAGCUUUACAUUCCUGCCCCCGGAUUUUCAACUUUAUUCUGUUACCAGAGAUUUUUCACCUUUCAGCCGCUUCAGACUGUGCGACAUCAAGUACAAUCAACUUGAGUGCUCAGAAUUCGCGCAUCAUCCUGGCCACACAACGCCAGUCGAUGAAAGCUCUCGCAGUAUUCGCUGUCAGAAAUGUGGUGACUGGGCCCUGGCCGGAUCUCGCUUUUGUGCAGCCCACCAGCAGUAAAUGCAGUAUAUUCUCUUUGUUUGUGCCACACUUCGGUCAUCUUCCACUCUUCGCUAAUCUGUGCUAGUUUCGACGUAUUUGAAUAGGCUGCGGGGAAGCAAGGAUUAUGGACUGAUCCUGGAGAAGAUUAUUGGCACUGGUGUCCUAGGAAAGUAGGGAUUGCCGUCAGAGGUCGAUAUGGAGCCUGCCCGAAUUCAGGGUAAUUGGGGGAAUCUUUUCGUACAGAAUUCAUGUACCUACGCUCUUUUCUACAGACAUGCUGUGGAAUAUCCAAGUUCAGUCAACUAAAAUCUGCACUGAAUCCACCACCAAAAUCAACACCUAUUUUGAUCAGUGAGGUUUCUCACUACAAAGGUUAUUAUUAUUACAUUAUAGUAUUUGAUAAUUAUUCCAUUUGGCCA
rnacentral:sRNA from 1 species